rnacentral:rRNA from 1 species
GACGAACGCUGGCGGCGUGCUUAACACAUGCAAGUCGAACGGAAAGGCCCUGCUUUUGUGGGGUGCUCGAGUGGCGAACGGGUGAGUAACACGUGAGUAACCUGCCCUUGACUUUGGGAUAACUUCAGGAAACUGGGGCUAAUACCGGAUAGGAGCUCCUGCUGCAUGGUGGGGGUUGGAAAGUUUCGGCGGUUGGGGAUGGACUCGCGGCUUAUCAGCUUGUUGGUGGGGUAGUGGCUUACCAAGGCUUUGACGGGUAGCCGGCCUGAGAGGGGGACCGGCCACAUUGGGACUGAGAUACGGCCCAGACUCCUAUGGGAGGCAGCAGUGGGGAAUAUUGCACAAUGGGCGGAAGCCUGAUGCAGCAACGCCGCGUGCGGGAUGACGGCCUUCGGGUUGUAAACCGCUUUCGCCUGUGACGAAGCGUGAGUGACGGUAAUGGGUAAAGAAGCACCGGCUAACUACGUG